CCUACGGGAGGCAGCAGUGAGGAAUAUUGGUCAAUGGACGAGAGUCUGAACCAGCCAAGUAGCGUGAAGGAUGACUGCCCUAUGGGUUGUAAACUUCUUUUAUAUGGGAAUAAAAUGUUCCACGUGUGGGAUUUUGUAUGUACCAUAUGAAUAAGGAUCGGCUAACUCCGUGCCAGCAGCCGCGGUAAUACGGAGGGUGCGAGCGUUAUCCGGAUUUAUUGGGUUUAAAGGGAGCGUAGGUGGAUUGUUAAGUCAGUUGUGAAAGUUUGCGGCUUAACCGUAAAAUUGCAGUUGAAAAUGGCAGUCCUGAGUACAGUAGAGGUAGGCGGAAUUCGUGGUGUAGCGGUGAAAUGCUUAGAUAUCACGAAGAACUCCGAUUGCGAAGGCAGUUCACUGGACUGCAACUGACACUGAGGCUCGAAAGUGUGGGUAUCAAACAGGAUUAGAUACCCUUGUAGUC
rnacentral:rRNA from 1 species